rnacentral:rRNA from 1 species
GUCGAGCGGACAGAUGGGAGCUUGCUCCCUGAUGUUAGCGGCGGACGGGUGAUUAACACGUGGGUAACCUGCCUGUAAGACUGGGAUAACUCCGGGAAACCGGGGCUAAUACCGGAUGCUUGUUUGAACCGCAUGGUUCAAACAUAAAAGGUGGCUUCGGCUACCACUUACAGAUGGACCCGCGGCGCAUUAGCUAGUUGGUGAGGUAAUGGCUCACCAAGGCGACGAUGCGUAGCCGACCUGAGAGGGUGAUCGGCCACACUGGGACUGAGACACGGCCCAGACUCCUACGGGAGGCAGCAGUAGGGAAUCUUCCGCAAUGGACGAAAGUCUGACGGAGCAACGCCGCGUGAGUGAUGAAGGUUUUCGGAUCGUAAAGCUCUGUUGUUAGGGAAGAACAAGUACCGUUCGAAUAGGGCGGUACCUUGACGGUACCUAACCAGAAAGCCACGGCUAACUACGUGCCAGCAGCCGCGGUAAUACGUAGGUGGCAAGCGUUGUCCGGAAUUAUUGGGCGUAAAGGGCUCGCAGGCGGUUUCUUAAGUCUGAUGUGAAAGCCCCCGGCUCAACCGGGAGGGUCAUUGGAAACUGGGGAACUUGAGUGCAGAAGAGGAGAGUGGAAUUCCACGUGUAGCGGUGAAAUGCGUAGAGAUGUGGAGGAACACCAGUGGCGAAGGCGACUCUCUGGUCUGUAACUGACGCUGAGGAGCGAAAGCGUGGGGAGCGAACAGGAUUAGAUACCCUGGUAGUCCACGCCGUAAACGAUGAGUGCUAAGUGUUAGGGGUUUCCGCCCCUUAUUGCUGCAGCU